UGGCAGGCACUGCUGUGGACGUGGGCACUGGAGGACAAACACGAGCCCUGCUCCUGCCCUCCAGGCAACAGCUGCCCAGGGGUGAGAGAGAAAAGCGAUUUAUAAGUAAGAACCCUUCCUCCAGGGUCUCCUCUGUGGGGUCACCCACCAUGGGUAGUGCCAGCCCUUUCUGUGGGUUCAUUCCAGACUACAAGCUCCUUGAGGCCAAGGACUCUGUCUUCUUCCCUGUGUGUCCCCAGUGCCUAGCAUGGGGCCUGGCACCUGGAGGUCUGUGUAGACCACCCACCCGCGGAGGGCAGGGCUGGACCUGGGUGCCCCCUCGGUGCGCCAGGGCUCAGGAGGUGUGUGCGGAAGGAGUGAGGAGCCAUGUUGUCCCCAGCACUGUCCGCGGUGCCGCAUCGUGGCGUGGCUGUCCUUGGAGCGUAGGAUUCCAGUGUGAGCACACCUUGGUCCACAGCCAUUCUCCUGCCCACAGCCACCAAGAAAUACUUCUGAUGAUGACUGUUUUUCUGUCUAAAAGACUAGCAAUUAGUGGCUUAUGUGCACAGCCCCUGCUGGGGUUCCCCAGCUCUGUGUCUCCUGGGUCAGCACUCUGCUGACAGUCGUCCCCCUGAUCUCCCCCACUCUGCCCCCUCCCUCCAUCUCCCUCUUCAGCAUUUUCUUAAGCCGGUUUUGGGGUUUGGUGCUCAGGGUGCAGAGGUGAAUGAGCUACCACCUUGCCUGCAUGUCAUGGCCGCUGAGAGGUCAUCCCAAGUCUCCAAAGCAGGCAGCAAAGGUAGUAUGAGAUACAUGUGUGAAAGGGCUUGGAGGCUGAGAUGGGGCCAGGUAGCCUGGUAACAGAAAAGGCCUGAUUGGUGGACUUAGGAAGUGCAGGUGCCGAGCUGGCCCUGGGCUCUGCCUAACGUGGAAUCAAAGUCUCAGAUUCGUGCCAAGUUCAUUGCUUUCUGAUUGGACAAUGACCUACGUGUGAUUCUGGCCUCCCCAUCUCUGAAAUGGGCUAAUGGUACCUCCUGGUGCUGCUUUGAAAGCCAAAUACACAGGCUGUACAAGAUCUCUAUUAAUACAAAAACCUGGACCAAUUCUUGAUUUAUGGUACCUUUCUUUGUAAUCCUAUCUUUCCAGGUAAAUGAAGUUUUCUUGUUUAAAUGUUUUUUUUUAAUUGUUAAACUAAGAUGUGCAUCAGAAAAAAUUGAGCCACAUGCAAGUUGAUAGAAUGUGAAAGACCUAAAGCCUGAGAUUCCCCGCUGUUACAGUACACGCUGUUAGUGCGGAAUCACCUAGAAGGGGAGAAGGCUCAGGCCGGAGAGGCUCAGCUCGGCUCGGCUCCGUGGCUGCUCACUGGCUGUGUGUUCUUGGCAAGUCAUAGGUGCUCUUGCAAACUCAGUUUCACCAGGUGUGCACUGGGGCUGAGAAGUGUCUGUUCCUCACCGCUCUUGUGUGGGAUUCAACGAUUUUACCAGGUGUGGCCUGAUCGCAAGCAAUGUUGGCUUGUUCUGUGGCAGUGGUUUCAAAGCCAGGGGAAGGAUUUAGGAGGCAUGAUUCGUGACCACUAGUGUUUUGCAAAGGCCAAAAUAACCAUGACUUCUGACAUGAUUCCAGGACUCAUCUUCACAGCAAACAAGCUGUGUUGGGCUUGUUUUGUUUGCUGAAGUUCCUUAGUGAGAUCCCUACUCAAUAUAUUUCAAGUCAUGCUUUCAAGGUUUAAAAAGAAAUUGUGGUAAUAAAUACACAUAACAUAAACUGUCUUAACCAUUGUUAAGUGUCCAGUUCAGUGACAUCAAGUUUCAUUGUGCAGCCAAUGUCACCACCAUCCAUCUCCAGAACUUUCCACAACAAAUCUCAGUCCUUGGCAAGAGCCGCUCUGAUUUUGUCCCUGUGAACCGACUGCUCUAGGGACCUGAUAUAAGUGGAAUCCUGGCGUUGGUCCUUCUGUGACAGGCCUGCUUCAUGUGGCAUCACGCCCUCAAGGCUCACCCACAUCGCAGCAGGCAUCAGAAGCCCCUUCCUUCUUGAAGGCUGAAUAUUAUUCCGCUGUUAUGGCCACACCGCAUCUUGUUUAUCGGUCCAUCUGUAGGUGGAUUCGUGGGCUGCCCCCGCCUCUCAUCUGUCGCGAACACCACAGCUGUGGGCCUGCGUGCACAUGUGUCGCUCGAGUCCCUGCUCUCGCUCCUUUGAGAGAGAUGCCCAUCGAGUCUGUAGAGCGCCUUUUAGGUGGCCAGCCUGGCCUCAGGUGUUGGGGGUAAAGAGGUGAGGAGGAUGGGGCUCUGUCCCUGGAGCCACAGCCUGGGAGAUGGAAGUGGACAGGUGGUUCCCUUGGGGCAGGAGAUGGUCCUCUGCAUGUGCGGUUGGCUUUCUCCGUGUGCUCUCACCUGUGCAAAUGCAUCACUCCCGGGUGCCGGGAAGCUGCUCUGCAUAGCAGCUCCAUGUGCAGGUGGGAGACUGAGUCAUGGGAAGCUGCAACGCCUUGGCUGAGAUCCCCUGCCUGCUUAGUCGGGAAGCUAGAGUCAGAAUUCAGGUCUACGGAGUCCAGUCCACCAAACUGUUCUCAAAAGCAUCCCCGUGCAGCCAAAAAAGUAGGCUUUUGGCUGCACGUCCUGGUGACAGAAACCUGGCUCACCCUAGCUCAGCCACGAGGAGGCAGUGGAUGGCCCAUGUAAUGAGGGAGGCCAGGUGCUGGGCUGCCUCUGGGCUCUGCCGCAUCUGGGGGUGGGGCUGUCUGUGCUUCUCCCUCCACCUCCGGGGGCUGCUUUCCUCUGGGCCCCGACACUUUGCAGAGUUCUUCCAUGCAGCUGGGGAAGCUGACUGCGUGAAUCCAGGCAAUACUCAGACCCUACAGCAGACGCGAGCUCCCCCAGGCUCCAGCUGCUAUGGGCCAGGAAGACAGAGCUUGGAUUGGUAGGGCCAGCCCAAGGCCAGCCCAGCAGGCCGCUGGGACGAGGGAGGAGAGACGGUGGGCAGGCAGAGCACAGAUGUCCUCAUGUGGCAGGGAGGGCCUUGCUGGCAGAGCCCCCACCAGAAUGGAAACCAGGCGGGCAGCACAAAGGUCUCCGCCGGCAGCAGAGGCCUGAUGUGGGUUUCAUCUUCAUUGCACGUGAACCCACCCUGCAAGUGGAUUAAAAUACAAAUGGCCAACGUUUCAAGUACCUCAAUAAAGUUUAUCAUCCAUCCAAAGGGA